UAGGGAAUCUUCCGCAAUGGGCGAAAGCCUGACGGAGCAACGCCGCGUGAGUGAUGAAGGUCUUCGGAUCGUAAAACUCUGUUAUUAGGGAAGAACAAAUGUGUAAGUAACUAUGCACGUCUUGACGGUACCUAAUCAGAAAGCCACGGCUAACUACGUGCCAGCAGCCGCGGUAAUCCGUAGGUGGCAAGCGUUAUCCGGAAUUAUUGGGCGUAAAGCGCGCGUAGGCGGUUUUUUAAGUCUGAUGUGAAAGCCCACGGCUCAACCGUGGAGGGUCAUUGGAAACUGGAAAACUUGAGUGCAGAAGAGGAAAGUGGAAUUCCAUGUGUAGCGGUGAAAUGCGCAGAGAUAUGGAGGAACACCAGUGGCGAAGGCGACUUUCUGGUCUGUAACUGACGCUGAUGUGCGAAAGCGUGGGGAUCAAACAGG
rnacentral:rRNA from 1 species